CCUACGGGAGGCAGCAGUGGGGAAUAUUGGACAAUGGGGGGAACCCUGAUCCAGCGACGCCGCGUGAGUGAAGAAGUAUUUCGGUAUGUAAAGCUCUAUCAGCAGGGAAGAAAGAAAUGACGGUACCUGACUAAGAAGCCCCGGCUAACUACGUGCCAGCAGCCGCGGUAAUACGUAGGGGGCAAGCGUUAUCCGGAUUUACUGGGUGUAAAGGGAGCGUAGACGGCAGUGCAAGUCUGGAGUGAAAGGCGGGGGCUCAACCCCCGGACUGCUCUGGAAACUGUACGGCUGGAGUGCAGGAGAGGUAAGUGGAAUUCCUAGUGUAGCGGUGAAAUGCGUAGAUAUUAGGAGGAACACCAGUGGCGAAGGCGGCUUACUGGACUGUAACUGACGUUGAGGCUCGAAAGCGUGGGGAGCAAACAGGAUUAGAUACCCUUGUAGUC
rnacentral:rRNA from 1 species